ACCGCUGGGAUUUUCGGCCGCUCUUCAAUUUCUGCGACGCAAUACACGCGGAAAAAGAUGCCGGGACGCCGAGCGGCCGGCUGCCAUCGUAAACGAGUACAGACGAGAGUCGGCUGUUUCGCGUUCCCCAGGAAGAAUCGGAAUUGUCGGAAAAUAGGACUUUGGCGGAGGUAAUUUAUCACGGAGAGAGGAGCAGUCGAGUACGCCAAUCGAAUCGACGCGUUUUCGUCGCGAUGAGCAAGAGCGAAGAUCGUUUCUGUACUCUGAAGCGAGGUUCGAGCUGCACACAACGAGUCUCUCGAUGGCGUAGCCCUGUUGUUGGUCGCUCCUGUUGCUCGGCUGCGGUUGGUUCCUCGCGCGUUAUUCUGUAAACGCGUACCUCGACAAUCCUUCACACCAUUGUGUUUCACUCGAAGAUUACUCGAAGACUUCUGGGAGAGUUGCAAGAGACUCGUCGUCGAAGAGACCUGGUCGUUGCAUUUAUCGUACGCCGUGUGAUUAGCCUUGAAAUUAGGCUCGCUCUUAACAUCGAAAUGAAGAUAACAAUAAAAAGCUGGACCGGAGUCGCCACCUGGCGUUGGAUAGCGAAUGAUGAUAAUUGCGGCAUUUGUAGAAUGCCAUUUGACGCCAGCUGCCCGGACUGCAAAAUUCCUGGAGACGAUUGCCCGCUGGUGUGGGGGCAGUGCUCGCAUUGUUUCCACAUACACUGCAUCAUGAAGUGGCUGCACUCCCAGCAGACCAGCCACAUCUGCCCGAUGUGCCGCCAGGAGUGGAAGUUCAAGGAGUAACCGACGCUUUGCGCACGGGCCCGCAGGUGUCAGCACGCAGCGAGUAAUCAGCAUACAAGAAAGGAUCGCGAUGUCUUCCCUGCAAGGAUUACCUCCGUUACCGAGGAGUCUGAGCGGCUUCAACCUGAGCGGCGGACGUGGCGAGAGCGGAGAGCCGCCUCCACCGCCCACGAGGUCGUCCAGUAAAUCCCAGAGAGGCGGUAAAACGUCGGUGCAGUCGUCGUCGAGGCCGUCGCC
rnacentral:misc_RNA from 1 species